UCCGUGCGUCCUCCAUCUCUUUCUUCUUCUCCGUUCACCCUAGCAGCCGCCCACCUCUUUCCUUUUUCUUCUUCUAUUUGUCGCAGCCGCCGAUCAUCUCCCUCUCUUCCCUUCCGUCCGUCGAAGCCAAGGCCGCCGCGUGAACCUGUAACCGCCGGCUGUCUCCCCUCUCCUUUCUCCUCUGUUUUCUGCCCAGCGCGUCGUGACCCUCUGCCCAGCACCGCGUGACCCUCCGCCCAGUGCCGUGUGACCCUCUGCCCAGCACCGCGCAACCUUUGUCUCCGCGCCGUUGUCCAGAUCUGCAACGCCGUGUCCCCACCGGUAGCCGAUCUCUUCCUAAAUUGCGUGUCCCCUAUCAAGUCGUCGUUCUUCUGCUCGUUGGAAGACGGAGUUACGAUUUGAAGCCGAUUUUCUUUUCCGGUUGAGUCGCAUUCAGUGUUGCUCUAUUUACAGCCGUUUGAUUCGUUCUUGAUUGUCAUUUUUGCCUUGCCGUGAACCAUUGGGCUCAUAUUUGGGUACAUCUUAAUUCAGUGAGCGAAUCCUUGAUUUUCCAAAAGGUUGAAGUGGAAUUGAUUUUCCACUUCUUGGUUUGCCCUUAUUUGGAUUGUUUCGUGGACGAUAGUUGAUUAAGGAGCUUCCCUAACUUUGAGAUGAUUGAGGAGCUUGGUGGUUCUCUCACUGCUGAUGGGAGUACAAGCACUCAUGUCAUUACAGGAAAUUUGCGGAAAACUCUAAAUUUUUGUAUUGCUCUCUUUUCAGGAGCUUGGAUUUUCUCCUCCAGUUGGUUAAAGGAAACCUAACGGGAAGGCAGAUUUGUUGACGAGUUGCCUUACAUACUAAAUGAUGAUGACUACAUAUCGAAGUAUCGAGCCAGCCUAAAAGCUGCAGUUCUCAGGGCAAAAGCAUGUUCUUGAGCUUUAUUUGAAGGGUAUGAUGUUUGCAUAUCAGCUCACGCUCAACCACCACCUAAAACUCUAUCCCUGAUAGUCAAGUCAACCGGUGGAAAUGUGAUUCAUGAGCUAGAUAAAGUAAACAACGUAUGGAAGACGAUCUUUGUGGCUUGUGAGGAAGACGUGGAGGAAGCCUUGGUGGCCGUACAAAAAGGGAUAUGGACUUUCAACGUUGAAUGGCUAAUGGCAUGUAUAAUGAGACCAGAAGUUGACCUGGAGGCCCCUCAAUUUGCUGAGUCCCUAUGAGAAACAAGGUCACCCUAACUUUCAGUUUUGAACAAGCAGCAGCCAGCCAUUUCGUCCUUGUGUAAAUCCACUCUUUUCUCAACUCACUCUAAUUUGGUACAUAAACAAACUCUGAUCGCUCCAUCUCUAUAUUCAUCAGUACAUAAAAGACGAUAAGUUUAUUCAUGGAGAAAGUUGGAUGUAAGUAUGUUUUAGGAAUGGUCCUUCAUUUAGUAACUUUGGGAAUUGUAAAAAUGAGGUAAUGAAGUUCUAUCAAGUUGAAUGUUCUUGUUUAUGUUGGAUGAGACUGAUUCUUGGAUACCAGAAUUAACUUGAAGUACGUGUUUGAGUU